GUUGAGACUAAACAACAUAGUCAUUCAGCACAGUUACAUAGAUGUACCUUUGUUCAGCUGUAAUUGGUAGAGCAGGUGUGUCACAUUGUGCAUGGGACACCCAGAUAUCAUUUAACCAAACUACAGCUCAAAUACCACACAAAAGAUUUUCUCAGCCUCUGUGUGGGUUAUAAGGUUACCAAGGAUAUAUAUGUAUAUUUAUAUAUCUGGUGUGCAGACAUUAUCUACUCCCUAUCUGUUUCCCUUUCCCUCUCACAAUCUAUAUCUUAAAAUAGAAAUACUUUUGUACAUCAUAGAAUACCGCACUUACUUUUUGCCUUUGUUUAUGGACAUUUGUUAUAUUUGAUUCAGACCAUUUGCUAUAAAAACAAGAUCUUGGCAGUGAUGCUCCUCCUCCACUGAAAAUGUUUAUAGUGUGAGAAUGGAGCAGUGUGAUUCCUUCCCCAGUUGGCUGCUAUUAGUGCUUAACUCUAUGGGCAAUUGUGCAAAAGGUGAUCAAAUCAAUGGAACUGUCAAAUAGCAAAAUAAAAAAGUUUACAAAUUGCUGGUCACUCAAAAGAGAAUUAGUAUUUCAAUUGAAUUGAAAAUGUUUGGAGUUAUGAAUGAGGACUUUAACUGUGCACUACAUGGUCAAACAAUGCAAUUGUGUUACAAGGGAAAAAGAUAGACUGAUAGACUUGGAGUGCAAAACUGUUUGUGGCAACUGCAGUCCUUAAGCUAUCAUAGCCAUUGUAGUCCUAAGCCAUCAUAGCAUAACUGUUUAUAUGAAUUGUGGCCCAGAGCCAUUUUCAUGAUUGUUUAAGUGGUACCAUACUCUAAUCUAAAUUAUGUUUAGGCUGCACCAUGUGGGGCCAUCCUCAGCAGCAGCAAGUAAUUUCCACUUGAUAAGAACUCCAACUAGAAGUAGGGCAUCAGGAUGGAUCAGGCAGGCAGAAUCACUGAUAUCUCAGGAGUAGCAUGUGUAGCUUGAGAGAGAGAGAGAGAGAGAGAGAGAGAGAGAAACAGGAGAUUAUUAGGUAUUUUUGGCUUAUUGUCUUGUAAUAGUUAAGGACAAUGUACUUUGUGUGCAGAGUGCAAGCAGGGACUCCAACAAGACUAGCUAUGACAGCAUAACUAAAAGGGAGAGCCAGAAGGCAACACAGACAUGAGGGCAUCCUGGGACAUAAAGUGUGAGUGAACAUGUAAGAGUGGGGGGCGACAGCAUCCAAACAUCCCAAUUCACCACAACAUUUUGCACAUGAACCCUCCAAAACUGCUCUUUUAAAUAAGAAAAUACUAUUCACAAAAGCCUUGACCUAACCUUGACUUAAAAACUGAGACUGUGUCUGAUUCCCAAACACUAAUUGGAAGACUGUUCCAUAACUGUGUGGAUUUGUAAGAGAAAGCUCUACCCCCUGCUGUAUCCUUCACUAUUCAAGGUACCAACAAAUGACCUGCACCUUUUGAUCGAGUAGACUUGGUGAAUCAUAAAGUACCAAAAGUUUGAUCAGGUACUGUGGAGUGAGACCAUUCAGUAUAAUAUUGACCAUAAUCAGUACGAAGUUUGCGUGGUAACCAAUGUAGUGUGGAUAAGAUAGGGGUGAUGUGGUCAUAUCUUCUGGUUCUAGUAAAGACUCUUGCAGCUGUAUUCUGGACUAAUUGGAGUUUGUUUAUGCUCCUAUUGGAAUAUCCAGACAGUAAGACAUUGCAAUAAUCCAAACUAGAGGUAACAAAAACGUGAACUAAUUUUUCUGCCUUGUGUAGUGCCUUAGAAACAUUAUAUUUCUUAUUUAGCAAUAUUUCUAUGAUGAAAGAAGGCCAUCCUAGUAAUAUUAUCUACAUGAGCUUUAAAUGAAAGACUGGAGUCAAUAAUCACACCAAGGUCUUUUACUACUGCACAUGAUGAAACAGAAAGGCCAUCCAGAGUUACUAUGUAAUCAGAAAGCUUAGUUCUAGCUGCAUGUGGACAUUAUAGUACGAGAUGUAUUUGUUUUCUAAAUAUUUUGUAUACUCCACCUGUAUGGUAUAUGGAGAUUAUACAGACACUUAAACAAACUUAACCAUUAUCCUAAAUAGCUUAAUACAGUGGUUCUCAACCAGUGGGGAGCGCCGAGACCAGAAGGGGGGCGCAAAUGUUUUUAGAAUUCACAGACAGGGCAUCAUUUGGGUACUCUGUGUAUUUUACUGCUUUUCAAAUAGAAUGUGCAGAAAUGGAAAAACUCUGCGUUCUCUCUCCCUCUGUAUUUUUUAUUGCUGGGGAGAGGUGGAGCUUAGCCUGCCUUUUAUCUAGCUGUGAGUGCAGACCACUGUUGGCAACGUAGCGACUUUUCAGACCCCUUUAGCGACUUUUUUUGUGCCACAUGAUAGGGAAGGUUUUGAGGGGGCUUUAGUUGCAAAAGGUUGAGAACCUCUGGCUUAAUCGAAUUACUUGGUUAUUUCACUGAAGGUCUUGCAACUCGAUUGUCCCUGUGUGUGCGGAGUUUGCAUGUCCUCCCCGUGAUGCGGGGGUUUCCUCCGGGUACUCCGGUUUCCUCCCCCAGUCAAGACAUGCAUUGUAGGCUGAUUGGCAUGUCCAAAGUGUAUAAAUGGGUGUGUGAGUGUGUAUGGGACUGUACCCUGCCCAGUCCAGGGUAUACCCGGCCUUGUGUCCAAUGCUCACUGGGAUAGGUUCCCUGUGACCCUGAAAAGGAUAAAGUGGUAUAGAGGAUGGAUGGAAGUAACAUAAUGAGUAAAUCUCCCCUGUGCCGUGCGCAGACCAACUAAUUGAUAAUGAGAUUCAUUGAUGAUUUUCAUAAUCGAUUAUUAUCGAUUUUAUUGAUUAGUUGUUGCAGCUCUUUUGUGCAGUGUGUGCACAAGUGAGAAAAGCCUCUCAAAACCAGCAUAUUAAUGACUUCUGCUUUUGUGAAAAACAUCUUUAAGAUGUCACAGAGUUUGUUAACUUACCAUAUUGCCACUGUAUUAUAUACUGUAUUGUUGAUAUAUGGUGAUUGAUAUUAUUUGAGUUUAUUUUCCAUAUAAGAGCUCAAAUUUAUUUCGUGUCUCCACAAUAAUAUCACACUUGAUCUUUCAAAGCAUGGGAACACGCCUUGAAAGAAUGCCUUUGCCAAAAGUAUGCAAAACAAAUGCAAAUUCUGUUCUGGUUUACUGAUGCCAAAUCGUCUGCUUUGUUUAGCAGUCAAAUUAUAUGAAAAUUAGAAUUUGGUGGGUGCUGUAUCAGCCAUUGGAUUCUCUGGUAUUUGGUGUGUACUGUAUCAGACUGAUAAAUAUGGACUGGCAGUUCUGUGAUAAGGCAAGGCCAAAGGCGUGUGACAUCCGCAGAGACCUGCUGCGAAGACUAGUUUGUAAAGUAAUCUUCAGCAGUUCUGAAUAUAUGAAAGGGGGAAUAAUUAUAUAUACUAUAUUUAAAUACACUACAUCAAAAGUGUGGACACCUGACCAUCACACCAUAUGUGCUUCUUGAACAUUCCUUUCCAGUUUUAGUCCCCAUUUGCUGUGGCAUUGUCAUGCUGGAGCAGGUUUGGGCCUCUUAUUUCCAGUGAAGGGAAAUCGUAAUGCUAUAGCAUCCAGAGACAUUCUAUACAAUUGUGUGCUUCCAACUUUCUGGCAACAGUUUUGGGAAGAACCACAUAUGGCUGUGAUAGUCAGGUAUAUGCUAUGUUUAAAUAGUUUACAUCCUACACCUGGGGAUAAGACAUAAAAAUAACUUGAGGUUAAUAAUUAAUAAUCAGUGUUCAGACAUGUAGUAUAUGGUGAGUUGUUAUUGAACUGUUUAAGGUGUAUGUAUAAACUUUUCUUUUUUUUUUUGCAUACAUGUGUAUUGAACAUUUACAUUUAAAAAACAAACAAACAAACAAAAAAAACACACUCUAUGGCACAGAUUCCCAGACCUGGUCAUGGAGUACCCUCUGUCCUGUGCAUUUUAGUGUUUUACAUGCUCCUAACAUAGCUGAUUGAACUAAUUAGCUAAUUUCCAUCCUUAUAAGUAAAAUGAGCUUCAUGUGAAUCGGUAACCUCGCAAUAACAAUGGAAUAACAAUGUUCUUGAGAAAUACAGUAGAAUUAUCUUAUCUUGUAAUCAUCUUUAUUUGCUGUACACAACAAAUCUGGCAGAUCAGCAAAUAAACACAAAUGAAGGAUAGACAUUUAUAGACAUGUAUUUGCUAAAAAAAAAAAAGUUAGUUUAUUGAUCAUUUUUCUGCUAUAUUGUGAAUUGGACAGUUAAUAGUUGUACAAAGGUUCAUGUAUUCAUUUAUUAUGAUAUUUUAAUACUCUGCAGCAUUUUCAGGUCCCAAUGUUCAUGUGACGGGGAGAAGGGAGAAGCCAGGGUGUGAGGAGAGAGAGAUAAAGGAGCGGCUUGAAGCACCAGUGGGAGAGAGACACAUGUGUGCUUUGUGUUUGGCCUACGUUUGUGUGUUUUACAUUAUGUUUGAGAUUUUUUUAUUAUUGAACUUUACGUUUAUGUUCAGCCGGUUCCUGCUCCUCCUUGCCCGGCUUUGAAGUGUGUGACACGGGUGUGCCAGCCACUCCUUUAUCUCUCUCAAUGUGGCUUCUGUCUUCAUCUUUCACAGAUCCAUAAGUAAAGUACUGGUGCCAUGGAGAUGUUACUCUAAGUCUACACUGAUCUUACAGUUGAUAUUAGACAUAUUGUCAAGUGUAACACAAAACAUGUCAUCCACUUUAAUAGGUACAUCUGCUCAUUCAUGCAGUUAACCAAUCAGCCAAUCAUGUGGCAACAGUUCAAUGCAAAAAAUAAUGCAGAUACAGAUCAAGAGCUUCAGUUAAUGUUAAUGUCAAGCAUCAGAAUUGGGGGGGCAUCCCUGUGACCUUAAAUGUGGCAUGGUUGUUGCUGCCAGAGGGGCUGAUUUGAAUAUUUCAGAAACUCCUGAUCUCCUGGGAUUUUCACACACAACAGUCUCUCUAAAGUUUACAGAGAACUGAAGCUUUUGACCUGUAUCUGCGUGAUUUUAUACAUUGUGCUGCUGCCACAUGAUUGGCUGACUGGAUAACUGCACGAAUGACUCCUGUGUACAGAUCUUUCUAAUAAACUGGAUGGUGAGUGUAUGUGUCUGUAAUUCUAUGGUAUUUAACUCAUUUCUUUAAGUUUAACCAAAAAAGGUAAACAUUUGACUGACAGUGUAGGAAAUAAUAAAUCUGAGCAAUCAGCCCGGUAAAAUCUAGAGAGUUUCUUUUCUAGCAAAUGAUAACUUUAAAAAAAAAGCAGGGGCACUGAGUGUCACUUACCUGUAUACACUACUCUCUGUGUUUAAGUUGUGCAGUUUUUUAUUAUCUGUGCUGAAAAAAAGGUUCUGACGCACAUAAACAUUAAAAUUUAGUGAAACAGGUUCAAAUUCUUCUUAUUAAAAGCGUUGACUGGUAUGAGGGGAACAACCCAGAAUGAUGUUGAGUAUAAAUAAAGCUGGGACUUUCCGUCAGUCCUAUCACGUGUCCCAGCAUAUCAGAGAACAGAUCCCCACUGUCCACAAACACAUCUAGUUUGGGAAUGUCUAAUCUAAUAACGCUGCUUCUCUUCACUGCCAUCUGCUGUCACUGAAACAUACAUGAACACAAACAUAAAGCAGUUUGCCCUUGGCAACCUGGAAAUAUAUACAAGGCCUUAGUGAUUAUUAUGACUACGUUUUAACUGUUCCAUGGCACCAUUUACAUCAGCAAAAGCUCGAUCUGUGAUUCAUGCUUUCCAGACAGCAAUUAACCAGUCAUAAUAUAUAUAAAUAAACAAAAAAAUUAAUAAUUUAUUAAGAUGUCUAGCAGGAAUGGAAUGGGGAGCUAGUCAAAAAUCUUCAUAACAAAUAUAUUGUGCAUUGAUCAGGUCACUACUGAAUUAUGGAUAUAUAAUAUAUGGGUCUGCAUCAUUAGCCUUGAUGAGGAAAAUUGAAACAGUACAGGCACAAUUGUUAAGAAUAUGUUGUGGUGCUUUUGUAUCCUCUCCAAUAACAGCAGCGCAAAUGGAGGUGGGAGAAAUGCCCAUGUGUAUACGCAAGUUAAAAUUAACAAUGAAUUAUUGGAUUAAUAUGAAAGGACAUUCUGAGACACACCCAGUUAAGGAAAUACUACAAGAGUGCUGGAAGUGUGGGAAUAAUAAUAUAAGAAGUUUUGGUUGGACAGCGAAUAAAGAGUCUAUGAAUUUGGGAGUUACAGAAACUUCAGUUAAUCCAACAAUUGUAGUACUAAAUAAACCUCCCUGGUUGUUCCCCAUGGCUCAAGUCAAUUUCCAUCUAUAAUAUAAAGUUAAGAAUGAAACAUAUAUACCUAAGGAGGUUAUUGUACAGCAGUAUUUAGAUCAGGAAUACUCUUCAAUGCCCCACAUAUUCACCAAUGGUUCAAAAGAUCCUACAUUAGAAAAAACAGCUGCGGUGGUAUAUAUUAAGAGGUUCAAAGGCAGCAUUAAAAAAAUGGACAACUAAUUAUGUAUCAGUUUUUACAACAGAGUUUAUAGUGAUUUUGCUGCUAUUUGUCCAGACUCUCAAUCACCUUUAAAUAGCUUAUUAAAUGGGAAGUCUGAUUCAAGACAAGAUUUAGUAUAUGAGAUACUUACACAUCUGCUUAGAAUUCAGAAACUAGGGAUGGUUCUGAGAUUUCUUUGUGUAGCAGCACAUGUGGGAGUAUGAGGAAAUGAAAUAGUGGACAAUGGAUCAUGUGGAUGUUAAAGUUAUACCAUAUAUACCAUAUACCACUAGGUAAAGAAGCAGUAGAAGGAAGAAUGAGAGAACUUGUGAAUGUGAAAUGUGGGACAAAGGAAAAAAGGGAAGGCACCUAUUCAAUAGCCAAAAACAGGUUGGGAAAGGGAGAAUAGGUCUCAAAAAAUAGGAGAGAAAAUACAAUUAUCACUCGGCUCCGAAUAGGACAUUCUGGAUUAAAUCAUUCGUUGCUGAAAAUAGGGAAACAUCAAACAUGAUUAUGCUUGACAUGUGGUGAAGACUGUUGAACAUGUAUGAUUGUGUAAUGUUUACAAGGGAAAGAGAGGAAUGAUUAAAUAAAUUGAGAAAUAUAAAUUUAAUCAAUUUCACCUUACCAAAUGGCAUCCUCUCUAUUGUUUUUUUGUUUUGGGGGCUUUUCGCCAAGCAUUAAACCAGCUAUAUCAGCUGCAGCAGGAAGAAUGAAGUCCUCCACAAUAGUAUGGGGUUUUCCUGUCUCAGCCACUCUGUAGCUCACCAUGUAGGAUGCUUCCAGACCUUCCUAUUUAGGUUUUCCUACACUGUUAUGAGGGUCUUACUACUUCUGAGUUGUCUUAAAUGUCUUUCAAAAAGCUCUCGAGGUUUAUUUAGCAAAAAGUAAAUGGCAUGCUUUGUUUCUAAAUGUCUGCGCAGAAAUGCUGGUUUCAUGCAGUUAUGAAAGAGUACGUUUGCACAUAUACACACUGUGGCUGGGGAUUUUCUUCACUGUCAGCGUAUGUAAAGCCCAAAGAAAUAUAUUUCUCAUCAUAUCUGCGCAUCUUUGAUGUUUUUUCUGCGAACUGCUUGUGAAGAAGAGAUGGCGUUUCAACUCAUACAUCGCUGUCUGCAUCAGUGUGACCUGGGCUAGUAGCAAUGAGUACACUUGCUACGGAUGCGGUGUUAGAGGGACCUGGGCCACUGCUGUCUGAGGACUGGGGAUCAGCGGUGCUUGCUGUGGUUGCGGGCCGAAAUCUUUGUACUUCUCCAUUUUAAGGUUACGAGCUAUUACUUAACUUCAUCAUAUAGCCAUGUGCUGGUGAUAAAUGACAUGCGGUAAGAUGCGCACUGACGCAUGAUUGUGAGU
ensembl:lncRNA